rnacentral:lncRNA from 1 species
CACGUUGGAAUUGAUGUAAACAGCUUGAUAUCCAUUGAAUCUGCUCCGGUGACCUACUUUUCAGAUGAGGAAAAGGAGAAUAAGAGCUUGACUCUCAUAAGUGGUCAUGCGAUGCACGUGUGGAUAGAUUACGAUGAAGUAGAGAUGCUACUCAAUGUUACAGUUGCUCCUGUCACAAGAACAAAACCAACCUUGCCUCUCUUGUCAACACCUCUCGAUCUUUCUUCUGUUAUGUUGAAUUCUAUGUACGUUGGUUUUUCUUCAUCUACUGGAGCAAUGGCUAGCAAUAACUAUAUUCUGGGGUGGAGCUUCAACAGAGGCGGACAAGCUCAAAGUCUUGACGUGUCAAAGUUGCCUACACUUCCUACUCGAAGAAAAUCAAGAAAGAAACCACAUUUAAGAAUUGUGGUCCCAACAAUAACAGCAAUCAUUUUGCUGGUAGCAAUCUCUGGUGAUGUUUUUAUAAUAAGGAGGAAGAAAUAUGAAGAACUGCGCGAAGAUUGGGAACAGGAAUAUGGUCCGCAAAGAAUCUCCUACAAGGAUUUAUACAAAGCAACCAAGGGUUUCACAGACAAGGAGUUGCUGGGAUGUGGGGGUUUUGGAAAGGUUUACAGAGGAGUAUUGCCUUCUUCCAAUAUGCAAGUCGCGGUCAAGAAAGUAUCCCAUGAUUCCAGGCAAGGUACUAAGGAAUUCGUUGCUGAGAUUGUUAGCAUGGGGAGGCUGAGGCACAGGAACUUGGUCCAGCUCUUCGGCUAUUGCCGGCGAAAGGGAGAGCUCCUCUUGGUCUAUGAUUAUAUGCCCAACGGAAGCCUUGAUAAACUCCUAUUUCGCAAUGACACACCCUGCCUUAAUUGGGGUCGGCGAUAUCAAAUCAUCAGGGGAGUUGCGUCUGCCCUUCUUUACCUUCAUGAAGAGUGGGAACAGGUCGUUCUGCAUAGAGAUGUGAAAGCUAGCAAUGUUCUAUUAGAUGCCGAUCUUAACGGACGGCUAGGAGAUUUUGGGCUAGCUAAGUUUCAUGACCAUGGAUCAACUCCUCAAACAACCACAGUGGUUGGAACAGUUGGAUAUCUUGCACCAGAGAUUACUAGAACAGGAAAGUCAACUACCUGCAGCGAUGUUUUUUCUUUUGGGACAUUUAUGCUCGAAGUAGCAUGUGGAAGGAGGCCUGUAGAGUCAGAAGGACCACCUGAGGAGGUUGUUCUGGUUGACUGGGUACUUGAAUGCUGGAAAAGAGGUGUCAUUCUUGGGACAGUUGAUCCUAGAUUUGAAGGUAACCACGUGGAGGAAGAAAUGGAGUUGGUCUUGAAGCUAGGCCUGCUAUGUACACAUCGCACUCCGGCAGCCAGACCUAGCAUGAGGCAAGCGGUGCAAUAUCUGGAUGGAAAUGCUACUUUACCUGAUUUACCACUGCACGGUGCAGGAAUCGGUUUAGUUCCCGUUAGCAAUGAAGCAUCUAGAGAGCAUGUUUUAACAAUGCCUAUAUCAUCAGAUGGAAUUUCUUCCUAUUCCUUGUCCUCCUCUGAAUCAAUCCUCAGUGGUCGUUGAACCAGCAAUGCUUCAUGGAGGAUUGAUUACGUAAAUAUGUAUAUUAAGACUUGUUCGAUGUGAAAUAUAGAGGAUCUUAUAGAUCUUGACUGGUUAUGAGUAGCCGACCCUCUAUAAAACUAAUUAUGUAAAAUCAUCUAGUAAAAUUUAAGUCUGGCCCAUCUUUCGCAUCUAAAAUUACAGAUUUUUCUCAUCAAACUAUUUGUUUGAGGUGAAAAAGGCUCAGUUGGAGCUUAGCAAUGGGGGCACUGCUGUAUAAAUGAAUCUACAUGGUAAAUCCAUAAUACAUUUUUAAAAACUAUCAGAUUUUUCUGACCAGCCUAUAUAAAUAAGUCGUAACAAUGGGAAAAAACCUGAUAAUAUUUUAGUCUGUAGACUAAGGAUUUGAACCUGGAGCAACGAUUAAGGAAACCUCGAAGUGCAAAGUUUGUUUGUUUUUUUUAAAAUCUUUAUGAUAAUAGUCGAUCAUUUAUUAUUAAUUCGUACUAAUGACUCCUUAAUUACUGACUUUUCCAUGCGUUAAUAGCCAAGUAAAUACGAAGUUAAUCCUUUCCGCAAUCAAUUAGAUAGAAUUAAAGAGAUAUCCUAUCAAUCAGUUUAUAACACGUUUUAACAGACCAACUUUUUGGAAUCAUUUUUCCACUUGAAGCCUUCAAUUUGAUCAAGAAGACUUUAACGUUGCUCUAUUGUUUUCUUUUACCAAUGUGAAACUGAAGAAGCAAAAACAAUCUUCUGCACGUUAUUAUGAUUGUAAUAACUCAAUUUUGAAUUCUUCAAAAUUUUAUUGAAUAUUAUUUUAUUUCUAUUUUUAUUAUAAAAAUCCAAAAAAAUUAAGAAAAAAAGUUUAGAAUUCAAAAAUAUAUUUUCUUGGUUCAACCGCCUUUUUCCGAAAAAAAGGAGCUUACUGGGUCAAUACGGGUCAAACCGUGUCGAUCAGGGUAAAAAAAUGAGUUUCAUGCCGUUUUGGGUCAAAACUGUCAUUUUCAGUCAAAACCGAGUCCACCGGAUAAUAUGGGUCAAACCAUGUCGAUCAGGGUAAAAAAUGAGUUUCAUGCUGUUUUGGGUCAAAAUCAUCAUUUCCAGUUAAAACUGAGCCCACCGAGUUAAUAUAGGUCAAACCAUGUCGACCGGGAUAAAAAAUGAGUUUCGGAUCAUUUUGGGUCAAAACUGUUAUUUUCAGUCAAAACCCGCUCCACCAGGUUGUUAUCGAAAAAUAUUUUUGGUGUUUCAAAUUAAUUUUUCGGUAAUCAAGAAGUGAUUUUUAGCGGUUGAAAAAGUUUUUUCUAAUACUGAUUUGAGUUUUUAGUUUUACUUAUAUAAAUAUUUAUUAUUAUAUAUAAUAAAACAAAAUCAAUAAUGCAGAAGUUUUUAUUUUUAGUAGUUGGGGCAGUUGGGGCAGUAAAAUAUUUUCUUCAAUACAUAGCAGUGUCUCCUAGUUAUAAAUUCCCGUGUCCCCUCAGUAUUUGCUAUAAAAAGCCACUGAAAAUUUGAAAAAAAAAGGGAAAGAAAAAAGAAAAGAGAUACUAAUAUUACUAAUGAUAGUUUUUUUUUUAAUUUUUCUUCACGCGAAUAAGAUAUUGAUUUUUUUAAAAAAUAAUUUUAAAAAUAUCAAAAAUAUCCUAACCAUUAGAUCUAAUAAUAUUUAGUUAUGAACCCUUGAUUUGAUAGGAUCUAAUAGGGUUUACCACAUUGGAUUAAGACCCAAAUCCAUCUCAGCCCUUAAAAUAAUUUUCUCUGUUAUCCUGUCGUGCCACAUAACCCGGUGUACCAAGCUACUAGUACAUCUCACCACAUUGCAACAAAGCUCGGUUCAAUAAGGACCGUUAGAUAAACUUUUAGAUCAAGCCAACUGCAGCUGCAGGAUCAGUUCAUCAGUAAUUCAGCGGUUCCCAAGCUUCAUGUGCACCGGUUUACCAUGCUAACGGCAAUUGUUUUAAUCAUGUUUUAUGCUAUAAUGUUUUUAGGUACAUCGCACCCUCGAUCUGGAAAGUAGAUGCUUGGAUAAAUAAUUUUAUUAUGUGAUCAAUGUAAUUGGAAGAACUAAUAUUUUGUUGUAAUAUACUUCCAUAUCUAAAAAUGUAAUGUUUAACUUAUUAUCUUGUGUAUGAUGUAAUUUAUAAUGUUAUUAUUAUUAUUAAGUUGAAUUAUGGUUGGUUGUGUAUAUAUUUGAGCACAAAUACUUAAAAAAAAAAGAGACGAUGUCUGUUAAGAAUUUAUUAGUUUUAUUAUAGUGUUCUAUAAAAAAUAGAAUUGAGAUAUUGAAAUAUGCUUGAGUUUUUUUUGAAGUCCAAAUGAUAGGAUGAAUAUUGUGAUUGAUGUUACAGGUUGAGAAAUGAUUGAGUCGAUAACUUGGUAUCUAAAGAAUACAAAGGAAACUCUGCCGAAAUUUCGGGAAAAUUAUAUAUAUAAAUAAUAAUAAAAAAUUUGAUAACUAUGAAUAUAUAUCAUAUAUUUUGAGUUUACAAUUUGAAAUUGUUACAAGUUUUCUUUAAUUUGAUAUGUUUUUUUAACAGGUUUAUAGCUUUUUAAAUAUGUCAGAAAUCAUUGUAGAAAAAUUAGUAUCCUAAAUCAUAUAGAAAAGACAACAUAUAUAAAGUAAUAUAUUAAACUAACAAUCUAAAAUAAAAUAAAAUAAAAUAAAAUAGACUCAAACAACACAUUCCAAAUCUAAUUCGAUGAUUUUAUAGACCUUGACUGGUUACAAGUAACCGACCCUCUAUAAAAUUGAUUAUGUAAUUGUACAGUAAAAUUUAAGUUUGAAUCCGACCCAACAAUAGCAUAUUAAUUACAGAUUUUUCUCAUCAAACUAUUUGUUUGAGGUGAAAAAGGCUCAGUUGGAGCUUAGCAAUGGGGGCACUGGUGUAUAAAUGAAUCUACAUGGUAAAUCCAUAAUAGAUUGUUAAAAACUAUCAGAUUUUUCGGACCAGCCUAUAUAAAUAAGUCGUAACAAUGGGAAAAAACCUGAUAAUAUUUUAGUCUGUAGACUAAGGAUUUGAACCUGGAGCAACGAUUAAGGAAACCUCGAAGUGCAAAGUUUGUUUGUUUUUUUUUAAAUCUUUAUGAUAAUAGUCGAUCAUUUAUUAUUAAUUCGUACUAAUGACUCCUUAAUUACUGACUUUUCCAUGCGUUAAUAGCCAAGUAAAUACGAAGUUAAUCCUUUCCGCAAUCAAUUAGAUAGAAUUAAAGAGAUAUCCUAUCAAUCAGUUUAUAACACGUUUUAACAGACCAACUUUUUGGAAUCAUUUUUCCACUUGAAGCCUUCAAUUUGAUCAAGAAGACUUUAACGUUGCUCUACUGUUUUCUUUUACCAAUGUGUAUCUGAAGAAGCAAAAACAAUCUUCUACACGUUCUUAUGGUGCUUGCAUCGUUCAAAUCAUUGCACUUUCUACUCGGCCUGUUUGUUUCCUUGAAGCUCUUGGCCUUAGCUCAAGAGGAAAACCAGUUCAUCUAUCAUGGCUUCACUGGAGCCAACCUGCUCCUCAGCGAGAUUGCAAAAAUCCAUCCAAAUGGUCUCUUAGAGCUGACAAACACUUCAAAACGGAUAAUUGGCCGUGCUUUCUUCCCAUUCCCUUUUCAGUUCAACACAUCUUUAUUCAACAAUUCUCGGUCUCUCUCAUUCUCUACCCAGUUUGCGUUCGCCAUGGUUCCUGAGCUGCCUACACAUGGUGGCCAAGGCAUGGCCUUCACAAUCUCUCCAUCUGUGAACUUCACAGGGGCUUUGGCAACUCAGUACUUCGGAAUCCUCAAUUCUACAAGCAAUGGCCUGUCUUCAAACCAUCUAUUGGCAGUUGAGCUGGAUGCAGUUCCAAGCCCGGAUCUUAAAGACAUCAAUGACAACCACGUUGGAAUUGAUGUAAACAGCUUGAUAUCCAUUGAAUCUGCUCCGGUGACCUACUUUUCAGAUGAGGAAAAGGAGAAUAAGAGCUUGACUCUCAUAAGUGGUCAUGUGAUGCACGUGUGGAUAGAUUACGAUGAAGUAGAGAUGCUACUCAAUGUUACGGUUGCUCCUAUCACAAGAACAAAACCAACCUUGCCUCUCUUGUCAACACCUCUCGAUCUUUCUUCAGUUAUGUUGGAUUCUAUGUACGUUGGUUUUUCUUCAUCUACUGGAGCAGUGGCAAGCAGCCACUAUAUUCUGGGGUGGAGCUUCAACAGAGGCGGACAAGCUCAAAGUCUUGACGUGUCAAAGUUGCCUACACUUCCUACUCGAAGAAAAUCAAGAAAGAAACCACAUUUAAGAAUUGUGGUCCCAACAAUAACAGCAAUCAUUUUGCUGGUAGCAAUCUCUGGUGAUGUUUGUAUAAUAAGGCGGAAGAAAUAUGAAGAACUGCGCGAAGAUUGGGAACAGGACUAUGGUCCUCAAAGAUUCUCCUACAAGGAUUUAUACAAAGCAACCAAGGGUUUCUCAGACAGUGAGUUGCUGGGAUGUGGGGGUUUUGGAAAGGUUUACCGAGGAGUAUUGUCUUCUUCCAAUAUGCAAGUCGCGAUCAAGAAAGUUUCCCAUGAUUCCAGGCAAGGUGCUAAGGAAUUCGUUGCUGAGAUUGUUAGCAUGGGGAGGCUGAGGCACAGGAACUUGGUCCAGCUCUUCGGCUAUUGCCGGCGAAAGGGAGAGCUCCUCUUGGUCUAUGAUUAUAUGCCCAACGGAAGCCUUGAUAAACUCCUAUUUCGCAAUGACACACCCUGCCUUAAUUGGGGUCGGCGAUAUCAAAUCAUCAGGGGAGUUGCGUCUGCCCUUCUUUACCUUCAUGAAGAGUGGGAACAGGUCGUUAUGCAUAGAGAUGUGAAAGCUAGCAAUGUUCUAUUAGAUGCCGAUCUUAACGGACGGCUAGGAGAUUUUGGGCUAGCUAAGUUUCAUGACCAUGGAUCAACUCCUCAAACAACCAAAGUGGUUGGAACAGUUGGAUAUCUUGCACCAGAGAUUACUAGAACAGGAAAGUCAACUACCUGCAGCGAUGUUUUUUCUUUUGGGACAUUUAUGCUCGAAGUGGCAUGUGGAAGGAAGCCUGUAGAGUCAGAAAGACCACCUGAGGAGGUUGUUCUGGUUGACUGGGUACUUGAAUGCUGGAAGAGAGGUGCCAUUCUUGGGACAGUUGAUCCUAGAUUUGAAGGUAACCACGUGGAGGAAGAAAUGGAGGUGGUCUUAAAGCUAGGCCUGCUCUGUACACAUCGCACUCCGGCAGCUAGACCUAGCAUGAGGCAAGCGGUGCAAUAUCUGGAUGGAAAUGCUACUCUACCUGAUUUACCACUGCACGGUGAAGGAAUCGGUUUAGUUCCAGUUAGCAAUGAUGCAUCUACAGAGCAUGUUUUAACAAUCCCGAUAUCAUCAGAUGGAAUUUCUUCCAAUUCCUUGUCCGACUCUGAAUCAAUCCUCAGUGGUCGUUGAACCAGCAAUGCUUCAUGGAGGAUUGAUUACGUAAAUAUGUACAUUAAGACUUUUUCGAUGUGAAAUACAGAGGAAGGUGCCGCAUAAUUUCGAAGAUUGUAGCAUUUGUGCAAUUUUUUUCCAACCACUUGUAUAUUUUGAAGAAAGUAUCCCAUGAUUCCAGGCAAGGAACUGUUCAAUUUUUUCCAACCACUUGUAUCUUGUGAGUUAUUUUACCAUAGAACAGUCGACCUCCCUGCAGACCAUAAGCCCAGAGGCAAGGAGGGCUUGUAAGAGUUAUUCAAUUGUGUUAAAAUUGUAGUGUUUGAUUAAUAAUAUACAAAUAUUUCUUAACUAGCAGAAUUAAUAGAUUUAUGAAACAAAUAACAAAUUCUAUUUAAACUUAGCAUGCAUUGUCAAUCCAUCUUGGUUGAUUAUUGUGGUUGAUUAAAGUCAAUCGAUGAUGGUCGAUUUAUGAUUGAUCAUGUUGAUUUUGUUGGAAAAUAAUUUUGAUGCCUUUCACAUCAAAUAAAUAAUAAAUUAUAUAAGCAAAAUAGAUAUUAUUACUUACUAAAGAAUUAUAUACAAACAAAGAAAACCUGUUAUGUUAAUUAGUGUGUUAAUGAUUCAAUAAUUUAUUAUGAAGGUUAAAUUUGCUUGUCACUUAAUAUAAACUGUACAAAUUGCUUUUCAGAAUUCAAACAAAUCAUCUUAAAAUAUUGCACUAUAGAUCAUAGCCUACAAAUAAUUUUGAAAAUAUUUUAUAAUUAAUUCAAACUCUAGUCGAGCACUGAUUUAAUUAAGCUCAAAAUUCACAUGGCCUAAAAUCUCUCUAAUCUUAAAGUUUUUGUGUUUUACAAGCCAAUUUAAACUUUCAAUUUCUACUAUAUAUGCAUGUUAUAAGAUCUUAUAAUCUUUCAAUUUGGAAUUAAUAUUAUUUGGAUUUUUUAAGAUUAAUUUCUUAUCCAUUUAUAAUUUAUUUUAAGCCUGUUGUUUUUUCAUGUUAAAAUAAUUAAUUUGGAGAAUUUAUUUAUUAAAUGGUUGGUUAAUUCAAAUGAUUCUAUAAAUCUUGUCAUUGCUUCUUAAAAUUGAUAAGAUUAUAGAACUCAAAUAUUACUUAAUCAAAAAAAGAAAAAAAAACGAUAGAAAUAGAAAAAAGACAAGAAUAAUCUGUGUGCUACGCCAACGCAUGAGGAGACGAGACUAGAGCCACGCCAACGCAUUACGUGUCCACCUCAAGUUUCUUUCUUAGCCAUUACGUAUCGGCUACGGCAUCGCAUCGCAUCGCAUGACGUAUUUAAUUUCUACUAUUUAUUAUAUUCAUUUAUUACUAUUUUCUUUUAAAAGAAGUGGACUGAAUAUUGUUUUUUAAGUCUAUCUUUUUAGAAAUAUAUUAAAUUAAUAUUUUAAAAAAUUAUUUUUAAUAUCAGCCGAUUGAAAUCAUUUAAAAAUACAAUAAAAAUAUUUAUUUAAAAUUAAAAAAUAUUUAUUUUUUUAAAAAAAUAUUUUUAAAUCAUAAAAACAAAAAAACUCUAAAUACACCGUACGAGUGACUACUACAACUGUUUAUUGUCAUCUUUACCCUCUCCUAGUUUCUUGAUCAAAACACAAAGUAGACUUUAAGCAUUGAGAAUCAGAGGGGCCACUUUGACCAUCCUUCAAAGAUUAGAGCUGCUGAUAGAUUUAAUUUUCUGCUAGCUAUCAAUAUUUAACAAGACGGAUCGUUCUUUUGUAUAAAAAAGUCAAAGAUGGCCACCCAGAAAUAACGUCGUUGAAAUGGACCAAGUUUAACACAAAUAUCCUUUUUUCUUUUUUUUUUCUUCUUGAUUUCCACUUGGAUUCUUGAACCAACACUUCAAUUUGUUUUUUCUUUGAGUUUAGUCUCUUUUCUUUUGUUUACUAUUUGUUUUAUUUGAAAAACAUUAACGUCCCUAAUUACAGUUCCUUCAACACUUCAAAUCUGUGAACAAACUAGGGAAUUCUGAAAAACCAGGUCUGAAUCCGGACACUUGCGCAUCGCAUGUCCGAGCAACAGAGGUUUAAAACUAUUGAUUCAAUCUGCAAUAUUCAGUAAAAUGAUAAUUAUUUUGGAAGUCCAAUUAGUAAUAGAAUUUGUUUCUUGCCAUAGAAGAUUUUAGAAUUUUAUUUUCUUUGAUACUGUAUCAACUUUGAAAAGUAGUUUUCCCUAUUUUUUAAGAGAAAAAGUUUUGGAGAAGGUUCGCAUGCACGCAAGUCAUAGCAAUGUGAAGAGACGUGUUAAUAAUUCAGUCUUUAGAAACUGUAACAACAAUUAAGGAAAAACUCGAAGCGAAAAAACUUUUACCAAUGUGUAACUGAAGAAGCAAAAACAAUCUUCUGCACGUUCUUAUGAUGAUUGCAUCGUUCAAAUCAUUGCACUUCCUGCUCGGCCUGUUUGUUUCCUCGAAGCUCUUGGCCUUAGCUCAAGAGCAAAACCACUUCAUCUAUCAUGGCUUCACUGGAGCCAACCUGCUCCUCAGCGAGAUUGCAAAAAUCCAUCCAAAUGGUCUCUUAGAGCUGACAAACACUUCAAAACAGCAAAUUGGCCGUGCUUUCUUCCCAUUCCCUUUUCUGUUCAACACAUCUUUAUUCAACAAUUCUCGGUCUCUCUCUUUCUCUACCCAGUUUGCGUUUUCCAUGGUCUCUGAGCUGCCUACACUUGGUGGCCAUGGCAUGGCCUUCACAAUCUCUCAAUCUACGAACUUCACAGGGGCUUUGGCAACUCAGUACCUUGGAAUCCUCAAUUCUACAAGCAAUGGCCUGUCUUCAAACCAUCUAUUGGCAGUUGAGCUGGAUGCAAUUCGAAGCCCGGAUUUUAAAGACAUCAAUGACAACCACGUUGGAAUUGAUGUAAACAGCUUGAUAUCCAUUGAAUCUGCUCCGGUGACCUACUUUUCAGAUGAGGAAAAGGAGAAUAAGAGCUUGACUCUCAUAAGUGGUCAUGUGAUGCACGUAUGGAUAGAUUACGAUGAAGUAGAGAAGCUACUCAAUGUUACAGUUGCUCCUAUCACAAGAACAAAACCAACCUUGCCUCUCUUGUCAACACCUCUCGAUCUUUCUUCUGUUAUGUUGGAUUCUAUGUACGUUGGUUUUUCUUCAUCUACUGGAGCAGUGGCUAGCAGCCACUAUAUUCUGGGGUGGAGCUUCAACAGAGGCGGACAAGCUCAAAGUCUUGACGUGUCAAAGUUGCCUUCACUUCCCCCUCAAAGAAAAUCCAGAAAGAAGCCAUAUUUAAGAAUUCUGGUCCCAACAAUAACAGCAAUCAUUUUGCUGGUAGCAAUCUCUGGUGCUGCUUAUAUAAUAAAGAGGAAGAAAUAUGAAGAACUGCGCGAAGAUUGGGAACGGGAGUAUGGUCCUCAAAGAUUCUCCUACAAGGAUUUAUACAAAGCAACUACAGGUUUCACGGACAGGAAGUUGCUGGGAAGUGGAGGUUUCGGAAAGGUUUACAGAGGAGUAUUGCCUUCUUCCAAUAUGCAAGUCGCGAUCAAGAAAGUAUCCCAUGAUUCCAAACAAGGAACUAAGCAGUUUGUUGCUGAGAUUGCUAGCAUGGGAAGGCUGAGGCACAGGAACUUGGUCCAGCUCCUAGGCUAUUGCCGAAGAAAGGGAGAGCUCCUCUUGGUCUAUGAUUACAUGCCCCACGGAAGCCUUGAUAAACUCCUAUUUCACAAUGACACACCCAGCUUUAAUUGGGUUCAUCGAUAUCAGGUCCUCAGAGGAGUUGCGUCUGCCCUUCUUUACCUCCAUGAAGAGUGGGAACAGGUUGUUCUUCAUAGAGAUGUUAAAGCUAGCAAUAUACUGUUAGAUGAUGAUUUCAAUGGUCGACUAGGAGAUUUUGGGCUUGCUAAAUUCUAUGAUCGUGGGGCUAAUCCUCAAACAACCUGUGUGGUUGGAACAGUUGGAUAUAUCGCGCCAGAGGUUACUAGAACAGGAAGGGCCACUACCAGCAGUGAUGUUUUUGCUUUUGGCACUUUUAUGCUUGAAAUGGCCUGUGGAAGGAAACCUGUAGAGCCAGAACAAUCAGCAGAAAAGAUGAUUUUGGUUGACUGGGUUCUUGACUCCUGGAAAAUAGGAGACAUUCUUCGAACAGGUGAUCCAAGAUUGGAAGGUAAUUACGUGGUGGAGGAAAUGGAAUUGGUUUUAAGGCUAGGUCUGCUUUGUUCUUUCUCCACACCACAAGCUAGGCCAAGCAUGAGGAAAAUUUCGCAAUAUCUGGAUGGGAAUGCUAGCCUGCCAGAGAUGCCUCUUGAUGGUGCUAGCAUAGGUUUGAUGCCAGUUAGUCAUGAAGAGCCUGGGGAUUUCACCUUGUCUUUCCAUAGAUCUAAUGAUUACUCUGCUCAUUCCUUCUCUAGUACCGACUCAAUCCUCAGCUGUGGUCGUUGAAUCAUGGCUUAACGAGGUAAAAAUUCUUUAAUCUAAAGACUAACAGCUGGCAUGUGGAAGGUAGAUUGGAAUACUUAGAGGGUUACCUUGUUUGUGCAUACCAUAGUAAUCCUCAAAGCACAACAAAGACUGCUCCAUGAGGGGUUAAUUAAUUAGCAUACAAACAUAGGUAUAAUUUAUGAUUUAAGCAAAACACAUGGUUGAAAUAGUACAAUGUUUGAUGUACAAUGCUGGUCAAUGAUGGCCGUGUAGCUUCUUCCAUUCUCCUCAGUGCUCUAACCCCACCCCACAAUUCAACUCAACUAUGCCUCAUUCCCAAACUAGUUAGAAUCAGUUUCACAGAUCUUCCUUCUCCAUUCAUUUAGUCCUUGUUCCUUUUUUGAUAAAACUCUCCACUUACUUCUGUUAUGGACUCAAAUGAUUAAUCACCUAUGCCUACCUCGUUUUUACAUGGAAGGUUAAUUACAUAUUGAAAUAUUCUGACUUCUGAUAUAGUGAUCUGCAGAAGCAUAGGCUUCAGUCAACUUUCUAAAAUACAGAAAAUCCAACACCCAGUAUCAUCGAUUAUCCUAACUAGAGUGCAGUUCAGUGUGAUAUAGCUGCUGGCUGGGUGGUUUAUUCACAGACUAGUAGUGGAAUAAAAAAAAUGGUGAUAAGGUAUCUUGAUGCUGAUGUUAUACACACAUAUAACUGUUUUAAUCUUUCUACAAACAGUCAAGAUUGCAAAAACCACGUUCAAGGAAGAAAGAAGAUAUAGACAGCAGCUUUGUAGGUUGAAAAGGGAUUAAAACACCAGCCAAGAAAAAGUAAAAGAAACAUUGCAACAAAAUUUGCAAUAAGAAGGCAGCAAUAUUAAUAACCCUGCUUUCAGAAAGAGUGUACAUAGUCAAUUACCUAAUGAAAAGGCUAGAGAUGUCUGAUCAAUAAGUUUCCAUCAUUUCUCCUGGUUAUUGGGUCACAGCUUGUUGCAGAUGAGGCAGCGCAACCUCUUGGGACAGAGUACGUUCACUUGCUGUGCAGCCUUUCCUGCAUCCAACUACCCUUAGUGAUUAAACAGACUCUAAUUUAUCAAGCAUGGAGAUUAGUUGUAAUGAUCAACUUUAAUUCUAAUUUGGGUCCCUCAAAGAACUUACACAGAGCAAGGUAAACAUGAAGUGACUUGAUUCCAUCUUAGGAAAAACAAGCUCAUACUGGAAAAGAUUUAACAGACAUUAGCCUCCCCGAAAAAUACCACAAAAAAAAAAAAAAACAAAAACAAAAGGAAGUUGAUACAGAUGCAGGAUAGCCAUCAACGUGAAAAUUACCGGUACUGAUGUGUUCAUAUGAACUUAUGGUGCCCGUGUGAGCUUGGAAGAGAGAACCAACCACUCCCUUUCCUCCUGGUAAUAUCUUGCUGGUCACAGAGGUGUCAAAGGCAAGGACUGCAGCCAUGGAUCAACUGUUGUAGUGGCUGUGACUGACCAAAUCAGCUCACUAAGAUAAUCCGCCUAUAGGAAAAGAAAUGAAUCAGGGAAGGAUGAUCUGUGAGUGGUGUGGUUUUUAUUAUGAAAUAAAAGUUUGUUUUUGUAUUUUAAAAUGUUUUUUAAAAAUUUUAAUUUUGUUUUAAAUAAGUUUUUUUUAUGUUUUUAAAUAUGUUAAAAGUAAUUUUUAAAAAAAAUAUAUAUUAUUUUAAUAUAUUUUUAAACAAUAAAUACUUUAAAAAAUAACAUUAUUACACUAACAAAACAAAAUGAAAAAGCUUAAGAAAUAGCUAAUUAUCACUAAAAAGUGAAAGGGAGACAUCUUAAUGGCAAAGUGAUGGCUGAUGUGCCAAUGACAGCCAUGAAUACCACUUAUUGGGACUAUACAUAGACAAACAUCUGAUUGAUGAUGAUAGGCAGAGCUCAUGAAUAGCUUGAACCACAACCUUUUGAACAGUUCCAAGAUAUUUGAAAGUAUCUUGUGAGGUUGCAGCAAACUGGAUAAGCCACCCGUUCCGUCUUUUCCCUUUUGCAAGUAUCACAUGCUUAAUUGCUUACACAAACUAUUUAAAACUACUAAAGAAUUUUAAUAAAAGAAACGCCAGCUGAUUGCCAGUUUUGGCGAAACGUUCAAAAGGCUUUGGACAAGGUUGAAGUCGGAGACAAAUUCAAAGCUACAGUAGCCCUUAAUGCUGAUGUUUACAAAUCAUCUUCCAAUAACCCAUCUUCGACUGUUGGGAACGAGCCUUUCUUGUCAAGUUUUAAUAGCACUUGCGACAAUGUUACGUUUACGUUUCCACCAUUUCAAGACGUUCAUAAGGCUUAGGACAAUGAUGGAGUCAGAGACAAAAUCAAAGCUACAGCAGCCCUUAAUGCUGAUGUUCAUGAAUCAUCUUCCAACAAACAACCUGAUGGCAAUUUCCGUAACAACAUAAAGGAUGUCACGAUUCACACUGUGAAGUUCGUCAAAUUAAAGCUCAUAAUGGGAGAAGUUGGCUGGCCUACAGAUGGUAACAGUGCUGGCGAUUUGAAGAUCAUAAUGGGAGAAGUUGGCUGCCUACAGAUGGUAACAUUAAUGCCGACCCCAAAUUAGCUAAAACGUUCCAUGACGGUCUCUUUAAAGAAGGGAACCCCUGUCCGACGAGGUUAAUUGGAUGUGUAUCUCUUUGGCCUAAUCGAAGAAUCAGAAGAGCAUUGCACCAGGACAUUUCGAGAGACAUUGGGGGCUCUUUCGCUUCGAUGAACAGCUAAAAUUUCCAUGGAUUUAUCUGGACAAGGUGAUGAAGAGAUGCUAAUAGCAUCAUAUGGAGUCCAAUACAUGCCAUCUCAAUGGUGUGUGCUUGAUGAGGAAAAUAAGAACUUGACCAUGAUAAAAUUGAAAUCAGCUAUGCCCUGCUCUUUGGUCGUGAAUGUUGAAUAUUUAGAUAGCAUUUGGAAAUGCAGUUUUUUAAUUUUUUUAAUUUAAAAUUAUUUUUUUAUAUUUUGGAUUAUUUUGAUGUUAUGAUAUUAAAAAUUAUUUUUUAAAAAAUUAAAAUUAUUAUUUUUAUAUAUUUUUAUAUAAAAAGUAAUUUAUAAAAUAACAUCUAUCAUCUUCAAAUAUCUUCUUGCUAGAGCUCCGCCUUGGCAUGCAUGCCCACUAGGGGUGUUCACGGUUCGGUUCGGAUCGGUUUUUAUCAAAAAAAGUAACCAAACCGAAAUUUUUUUUUAAAAAAAAAAACCGAAACCGGUUCAAACCGACCGGUUUCGGUUCGGUUCGGUUCGGUUUUUUAGAGAAAAAACCGGUUCAAACCGGUUUGGCUCGGUUUUUCCGGUUUGGCUCGGUUUUUUCGGUUUGGCUCGGUUUGGCUCGGUUUUUUUCGGGUUCGGUUCGGUUCGGUUUUUCCGGUUCCAGGCUUAAAAAACCGAAACCGAACCGAACCGGUCGGUUUUUUCAAAAUUUUAAUCGGUUUAAUCGGUUUUUUUUUUCGGUUCGGUUUUUUUGGUUAUUUUUUUUCCGGUUUUCUCGGUUUAAUCGGUUUUUCGGUUUUUUUGAACACCCCUAAUGCCCACUACCCAUCUUUAUUAAUUGUGUCUAUGGUUUUGGUUAUCUUGUUUUUCUAUUUUUUUUUCUUGUAAAUGACAAGUUUCAUUAUGUAUUUUGUUUUUCAUUUAUAUAUGUUUUUAUAUUUUUCUCCAAAAUUUUAAAAUUAAAUAUUUAUUAUCAUAAAAUUUUAUUCUUGUCAAUUGUCAUAAUUCUUUGAAAAUUUUUGAAGCAUGUCAUUAUGCUUAAAGAUAUUUAAGUUUUUUAUUUAUAAAAAUAAAAUUACAUAUCUGAAAAUUUAUAUUUUUUUUAUUUUUACAAUCAUAAUUUCAUUUGAAUAAUUUAUAAUAAUGGUCGUAUAAAAAAAGAAUAGAUUAUAAUUAUAAAUUGUUUUAUAAAUGAGAAAAAACAUACAUUCAAAAAAGAUAUUAUGAAAUAUUUUUUGAAAGAAAAAACAAUUAAAGGUAAUUUUUUAAAUAUAUAAAGCACAAUUAAAUUUGAACUUUCUUGGAAGAUAAGCUAUAAAAAUAAAUUUAUUGAUCUUAAGAAUUAGCACAAGAAGAUUUAUUGACAAUUUAUCUUUAAAAAUUAAAUUUAUAGAUACUUCUUUCAACUUCCUCUUUCUCUUUCUAUUUUAAAGUUGUGUGGCACAAAAAUUACACGUUGAAGGAAAGAACGUGUGUAUAUCCUCUUUUUAAGUGUGUGUUUAGUAGUGCAUUAUAUGUUAUUUUUUAAAAGUAUUUUUAAUUUAAAAUAUAUUAAAAUAAUGUAUUUUUAUAUUAAUACAUUAAAAUUAUAAAAUAAAUUUAAAACAAAUAUUAAAUUAAUAUUUUUUUCAUAUAAAAAAUUGGCUUAACAAACAUUAUAAAAAAUAAAUCGAACCACAAAAACAAUAGCAGCCUUAAAUGCAACCAAACAUGCUUAAAGCAAGCAUUAGGUUUUAAUAAUAAUAAUAAUAAUAAGAAGCGAGCAAGGGUUGCAUACCCGAGCGAUGAUUGCAGACCCAGUUUCCAAACCCUCACCCCUAAGCUGCAGACCCACUUGCCAAGGUUUGCAGAACCCCGCGCUUGGGGUGUGCAGAACUAGGAGCGGGGUGUAGACCCACCCGUCUGGGUUUCUUCUAUUGCGCCUGAGGUCUGCAGACCCCCCAGGAGUUGUAGAACCCGUAGAGAAAAUUAACAAAUUUGAAAAAAAAAUGAAAACAAAUAUAAUAACUAAUAACAAUUAUUAUUGUUAUUGUUAUUGUUAUUAUUAUUAUUAUCGUAAAUAAAUUUUAUAAAAAUAUUAUUACUAUAAAAACUUGGACUAGACAAGUUUAAUAUUAUUAUUAUUAUACUAAAUAUUAUUGUUAUUUAUUGUUGUCAUUAGUAAAUUGAAAACAAAAUUAUUAUUUAUUGUUAUCAUUUCAGGUGGGGUUGAAUUUCCUUAUUAAAACAUGUUUUGUUUUGGUUUUUAAAAAUGCUUUGAAACAAAUUUGACAAUUUUUUAUUUUUUUCAUUACUUCAAAUUAAUAUUUUUUCUUUUAAUUCAUAUUAAGAUGUUUUUGUAUUAUUUUGAUGUGAUUAUAUAAAAAAUAGAUUUAAAACAAUAAAAAAUAUUAUCUCAAUAUAUUUCAAAAAAAAUAUUUUAAGAUAUUUUCAAUUUUAUUUUUUUCCCUCUUCAAAUAUUUUUUUCUCUUAUUGAUUUUUUUCAUACUGUAAAGAGAAAAUAAAUUAAUGUGACUUUUUUUUAUAUUAUACAAAAGUUGGGUGAUGAUAAUUUUUUUUCAUUUCAAGUUGGGUUGAAUUUUCUUAUUAAAGUAUGUUUGGUUUUGCGAUUCAAAAAUGGUUUGAAAAAAAUUUAAAUUUUUUUUAUUGUUUUCUUUACUUCAAAUUAAUAUUUUUUAUGUUUUUAUAUUUUGUUUUUAAAUAUAUUGAGAUUGAGUCUGGUUGCAUAGCCACACCAAAAAGAAUAUAUUAAGUUGGGUCCUAUCCAGCAGGACCCAAAAUAGCUUUGGGUCCAGCCGCCGCUGGACCCAUCAGCCUUGGGUCUUGUCCCUAACAGGAUCCAUCAGCGUUAAGUCCUGCUCCUAGCAGGACCCAUCACUAUUUUUUUUUUUUUCUUUUCUAUUGGGUCAGGCAUUUUCUUCCAGAACCAAGAAACUUGGGUAAGAAACGACGCCUCACCCAAGGAGCUUGGGUGUGGCUAGGCACAGACCCAAAUCCAAAUCCCUUUGGUCUUAAAGACCCGCCUGGCCCAAGAUUAUUGGUCCUUCGUCAGGACCUAAGGCUAAUGGGUUAUGCGUCAGGAAUCAAGGCUAAUAGGUCGUGAGUCAAAACCCAAUGUUCUUGGGUCCUGUGUCAGGACCCAAUUUCCUUAGGUUAUGUCAGGACCCAAAACUAAUGGAUGUGACAUCAAGACCCAAGAUUCUUGGAUCUUAGAUUUCUAAAUAUAAUUAUUUAUGAUAUAAAUAUAAUUAUUUUUAUUAUAAUUAAAAGUACUAAUAUUAAAAAUAGUAUUAUUUGUGAUAUAAAUAUUACUAUUUUUAAAAUAAUUAAUAAAUUUGAAAAACAUUAUUAUCAGUAUUGAAAAACAACUAUAGAUUUCAUUUGAAGUGUAAAAUAAUUAAUAAUAAUAAUAAUAAUUAAAUUUUAAAAAAAUAUUAUUAUUAUCGAAGAAAAAACAUAUUUUUUUUAAGAUUAAAAAAAUAAAAAAUUUGGCUGACAAGUUAAAUAUUAAUAUUAAUAUUAUAAAUAUUAUUGUUGGAUUUAGCGUUGCAGCCAGACGCAACGCUCAUGGGUUCGUCGUUGCAGCCAAACUCAACACUUUUAGAUCUUAGAUUUUUAUUAUAUCUUUUUAUUAAAAUAAAAGGUGAGCCCGGGCCGUAGUGCGGGCAAAUAAGAAAAAUGAAAAAAAUAUCAAUUAUUAUUAUUAUUAUUAUCGUUAAUAAACUUUUUUAAAAACAUUUUUACUAUAAAAAAUUUGGCCAGACAAGUUCAAUACUAUUAUUAAUAUGAUAAAUAUAAUUAUUUGUAUUCUAAAUAUUAUUAUUUUUAUUAUAAUUAAAAGUAUUAGUGUUAGAAAUAUUAUUAUUUGUGAUAUAAAUAUUAUGAUUUUUUUUAUAAUUAAUAUUAUUAAUAUUAAAAAUACUAUUUUUUAUUAUAAAUAUUAUAAUUUUUAUUAUAAUUAAUAUUAUUCUUAUAAUAAUUAAUAAAUUUGUAGAAAAUAUUAUUAAUAUUGAAAAAAAUAGAUUUAAUUUGAAGGGUAAAAUUAAGAAUUAUUAUUACUAUUAUUGUUGUUGUUAUUGUCAUUACUAGAUUUUAAAACAAAAUUACUAUUGUCAUAGAAGAAAAGCAUAAUUAUUUUUUAAAAGAUUGAAAAAUAUGAGAAUUUGGGCAGAGAAGUUAAAUAUUAUUAUUAAUAUUAUAAAUAUUAUUAAAUUCAUUAAUAUUAUUACAAUAAAAAUAAAUAUUAUUGCUAUUAAAGAAAACAUAGAUUUGAUUUGAAGGGUAAAAUCAAUUAUUAUUAUUGUUAUUGUUAUUGUUAUUAUUGUUAUUAUUAUUAUUAUUAUUAUUAUUAUUACUAUUAUUUUCUUCACUUCAAAUUAAUAUUUUUUCUUAAUUCAUAUUAAGAUGUGUUUGUAUUAUUUUGAUGUGAUUAUAUAAAAAAUAUAUUUAAAAAAAUUAAAAAAAUAUUAUCUCAAUAUAUUUUUUAAAAAUAUUUUAAGAUAUUUCCAAUUUUAUUUUUUACUCUCUUGAAAAAACAUUUCUUUUUUCUUAUUGAUUUUUUUUUCAAACUGUAAAAAAAAAUUAAAUUAAUGUGACUUUUUUUAUAUUAUACAAAAGUUGGGUGAUGAUAAUUAUUUUUUCAUUUCAGGUGGGGUUGAAUUUUCUUAUUAAAGCAUGUUUGAUUUUGGUUUUCAAAAAUGCUUUGAAAAACAUUUGACAAUUUUUAUUUUUUGUCUUUACUUCAUAUUAUUAUUUUUUCCUUUAAUUGAUAUUAAGAUAUUUUUGUAUUAUUUUGAUGUGAUUAUAUAUAAAAUAGAUUUAAAAAAUAAAAAAAAUUAUCACAAUAUAUUUUUUUAAAAAUAAAAAAUAUUUUAAGAUAUUUCCAAUUUUAUUUUUUUCCCUCUUGAAAUUUGUUUCUUUUCUCUUAUUGAUUUUUUUUUAUACUGUAAAGAGAAAAUAAAUUAAUAUGACCUUUUUUUAUAUUAUACAAAAGUUGGGUGAUGAUAAUUUUUUUUUUCAUUUCAAGUUGAGUUGAAUUUCAUUAUUAAAGCAUGUUUUGUUUUGCGUUUUAAAAAUGCUUUGAAAAAAAUCUGAAAUUUUUUUAUUGUUUUCUUUAUUUUAAAUUAAUGUUUUUUAUGUUUUUAUAUAUAUUUUUAUUUUGUUUUUAAGUAUAUUGAGAUUAGGUCUGGUUGCGCAGUUACAUCCAAUGAGAAUAUAUUAAGUUGGGUCUUGUCCCGAGAAGGACCCAAAAUAGCUUUGGGUCCAGCUGCCGCUAGACCCAUCAGCAUGGGUCCUACCUCUACAAGGACCCAUCAAUAAUUGUUUUUCAUUUUUUUUUUCUUUUCUCUUGGUUUGGGCAGUCUCUUCCAGACCCAAAAAACUUGGGACAGGAAAAGGAGGGCACACCCAAGGGAGCUUGGGUGUGGUUAUGGAGUAGACCCAAAUCCCUUAGGUCUACAACUCCGUUUGACCCAAUAUUAUUGGUCCUUCUUCAGGAUCCAAUUUUUUGGGUCCUGAGUUAGGACCCAAGGCUAAUGUGUCCUGCGUCGGGAUCCAAUGCUCUUGGGUACUGAGUCAGGAUCGAAUUCUCUUGGGCUGUGUUAGGACCCAAAGUUCUUGUGUCCAUCAUCAGAACCCAAGGCUAAUAAGUUCUGCAUUAUGACUCAUGGUUCUUGUGUGUUAGGUUUCUAAAUAUAAUUUUUUGUAUUAUAAAUAUUAUUAUUUUUAUUAUAAUUAAAAGUAUUAAUAUUAAAAAUAGUAUUAUUUGUGUUAUAAAUAUUAUUAUUAUUAUUAAAAUAAUUAAUAAAUUUAAAAAAAAUUAUUAUUUGAUUUGAAGUGUAAAAUUAAUAUUAUUAUUAUUAUUAUUAUUAUUAUUAUUAUUAUUAUUAUUAUUAUUAAAUUUUAAAAAAUUAUUAUUACUAUGAAAGAAAAACCAUAAUGUUUUUUUUUGAAAGAUUAAAAAAAUAAAAUUUUUGACAAACAAGUUAAAUAUUAUUAUUAAUAUUAUAAAUAUUAUUGUUGGGUUUUGCAUUACAGUCAGACUCAACGCUCUUAGAUCCGAUAUUACAGCCACACCCAACGUUUUUAGAUCUUAGAUUUUUAUGAUAUUUUUUUUAUUAAAAUAAUAGGUGAGCCCGCAGCAUUACUCUUACGUAAAAAUUAAUGAGUUAAAAUUGAAAAUGGGUUUGGAUUUCCUUAAUUUUACCCUGGAUUGGAUUAUGUGAAAAAAAAUUAAAAAGUUACCCUAAAUUUUAUAAGUUUAUAAUACUUUAAAUUAAUAAAAAAAAUUAAAGUAUUAUAAGUUUGUCAUUAUAUUAUAUGUUUCACGUCAUUUGGGUUGCCAUUGUCAAAACCAUAGUUAUUAAACCCGGCCCGGGGUUGACCCGGCCAAGAGGCCGGGUCCCGGGUUUCAUAGGUCAACCCGGAAAAAUUAAAAAAAAAAUUAAAGUUUUAAUAUUUCAUAUGAAAAAAUCCAUGUAAAUAUAAAUUAUACAUAUUGUAAACAAUGAAGUUUAAAAGAAUAUUUUAAAAAGGUUUUUAUCCCACAUAAAAAAAAUAUUAUGUUAAGUUUUUAAGUUGAAGUAUUUAAACUAAAAACGUUUUUUAUCCCACAUUGAAAAAACAUGAUUUUUUACUUGGGAACAUAAAGUAUAUAUAACAAUGGGUUUCAAAUCUCACAUUUAAAAAAAAAAACUGGAUCUCGUUCAAGUUUAUCCGGGUCGCCUGAGUCAUGAGUUGACCUGCCGGGUCACCCGGAUUUAGCUGUACUGUUGCCCCAACCAGUCUUUUACUAAACCAAGUAGCAGGGCCAAGUCCUCUUCCUUCGACAUCGAAGCUUCUAUAUGCUUCAAUGCUGUUGAAUUUGCCGACGGCUGUUUUUAAUGAUUCAAUAAUUUAUUAUGAAGAUUAAAUUGCUUGUCACUUAAUGUAAACGGUCUAAAUACAAAUUGCUUAUCGGGAUUCAAACAAUUUUAUCUUAAAAUAUUGCACUAUAAAUCAUGACCUAUAAAUAUUUAAAUUUUUUAAGAUUAAUUUUUUAUUUAUUUAUAAUUAAUUUUAAAUUUAUUAUUUUUUAUAUUAAAAUAAUUAAUUAAUUUGACAAAUUUGUUUAUUAAAUGAUUGUAUCGUUCUUCUGCAUAGAGUCAAAGAUGGCCACCUAGGAAGAACGUCGUUGAAAUGGAUUUUUCACCCUUCAAAUUAAAUUAAAUUAUAAAUAAAUAAAUAAAUCUCAGACACGUGCUUGACUAAGUUUAUUCAUUGGAAUGGUGCGUUCGCAGAUUUGCCCUUGCACUGAAAUAUUGAGGUCAAUUUAGUCUUUUCACGGGAUCCAAAUUAAUCUCAGACACGUACACUUACAAGCAAAAACAAUUAACUUGUAUUCAGGUGCUUUUUUAUCUUUUUAAACUGAUUUUUUUUAUUAUAAUAAAGUUAAUUUACAAGCAAUUUGAUUAUUUAAUAAAUCUAUUUAUAUUAAAAAAAACCUGGCACGUGGGCUUUUCUUAUGCUAUUUGUGUGGCUGGUACCAUGAUGUUUGGAAGGCAAAUAGUGGUUUUCAAGGCGGUGUUGAAAUCGUCUUGACAGUUCUUUCAUGUUUAGGUUACGCUUGUGGUCAACCAAUCUAAGAUUUAGUGCUAAUAACUUUCUUUUUUUCCUUCUUGAUUUCUGCACUUGACCCUCUGAAAUUUAAAACCAGCCUUUCAAAUUAUUUUUUCUUGGAAUUUGAUCUCUUUUCUUGUAAUUAUUAUUUGUUUUAUUUGAAAUAAUUUAUAGAAUUAAAAUUUUUUUCAACUUCAUCAUCCUUCAACUUUUUCAUCUAUUAAAUUUGGUCCUUAUUUAUUCAUUUUAGAUGGUUUUUAGAAUUAAUUUUUUUUCAUGAUUUUAUUCUCCAAUUUUUUUCUAUCAAAUUUUAUCCUCAUUUUCUCCUUUAUUUAAGCUCGGAUCUCUUUAGCUUCAUCAUUCGGUAUUUAUUUAAUAAGAGAUUAGACUCCGUUAUUUUUUUAUUUUAUUUCUAUAGAAACUUUCAUUGGUUAUGAAAAUAACGUGGGUUAUAUUGAGUCUUUUUAUUUGUUGCUCUUUGUUAAAUUUAGCUUUUUUUGAGAAAUUUAAUUUUUUAUUAAAUUAAAUUAAUUAAUUAAAUAUAAGCAUGAAAUGCUCAUUUCAUGAUAUUUUACUUGGUUUUAUUUCUGGUGAUAAGACGGUGUUCACAGACUUUUCCUUCAUUUGCUAUUGGGUCUUAUAUUGGUAACUCAUUUUUUAUAGUUAACUAUUGCAAAAAAAAAUUAUUUUAUUUACCGUUGAUAUCUUUUUUAAUCAUAUUAUUAAAUUAAUCAAGCUUAUUGAAUCAAGUCAAAUUAAUUACCUAAAUCUCAAAUUUGUUUUGCUUCUUUAAAAAUGUUGGCGCCCUUGAAUAUUUUUUUUUGUCAAUUUUUUUUUUAUAUAUCUAUUAUCAUUGUAUUUUUUUUACUCGUAUUAUUUAAAUUAAUCUAACUUAUUAAUUCCCAUAAAAAAUGACUGGAGUCUCAUUAACUUUUUAAAACAUUUUAGAAACAAUUGUGCCAUCUUAGCAUCUUUUUUACCGUUAAAAAAAAAAACUUCAGCCUAUGCAAGCCAUCCAUCUAGUUUCAAUCUAGUACCCCAUUUCCAUUGCUCAUAAGAAUCAGGCUUGAACAUCCUUUUAUUUUGGUUUAGAUAAAUUAAAGAAAUGCCAUUGCAGUGCUCUUUGUUACUUCAAUCUUCUUUUUACCCUAAACUAAGUAGAGUUCCUUCAACACUUUAAAUCUGUGAACAAACUAGGGAAUUCUGGAAAACCAGGUCUGAAUCUGGACACUUGCGCACCGCAUGUCCGAGCAACAGAGGUUUAAAACUAUUGAUUCAAUCUUCAAUAUUCAGUAAAAUGAUAAUUAUUUUGGAAGUCCAAUUAGUAAUAGAAUUUAUUUCUUGCCAUAGAAGAUUUUAGAAUUUUAUUUUCAUUGACCUUGUAUCCACUUUGAAAAGUAGUUUUCCCUAUUUUUUUCCAAGAAAAAGCUUUGAAGAAGGUUCGAAUGCGCCCAAGUCAUAGCAAUGUGACGAGAAUUGUUUAUAAUUCAGUCUUUAGACUGAGGAUUUGAAACUGUAACAACAAUUAAGGAGAAACUCGAAGCGAAAAAAGUUUGUUUUCUUUUACCAAUUAAUGUGUAACUGAAGAAGCAAAAGCAAUCUUCUGCACGUUCUUAUGAUGAUUGCAUCGUUCAAAUCAUUGCACUUUCUACUCGGCCUGUUUGUUUCCUUGAAGCUCUUGGCCUUAGCUCAAGAGGAAAACCACUUCAUCUAUCAUGGCUUCACUGGCGCCAACCUGCUCCUCAGCGAGAAUGCAAAAAUCGAUCCAAAUGGUCUCUUAGAGCUGACAAACACUUCAAAACGGCAAAUUGGCCGUGCUUUCUUCCCAUUCCCUUUUCAGUUCAACACAUCUUUAUUCAACAAUUCUCGGUCUCUCUCGUUCUCUACCCAGUUUGCGUUUGCCAUGGUCCCUGAGCUGCCUACACUUGGUGGCCAUGGCAUGGCCUUCACAAUCUCUCCAUCUGUGGACUUCACAGGGACUAUGGCAACUCAAUACUUUGGAAUCCUCAAUUCUACAAGCAAUGGCCUGUCUUCAAACCAUCUAUUGGCAGUUGAGCUGGAUGCAGUUCCAAGCCCGGAUCUUAAAGACAUCAAUGACAACCACGUUGGAAUUGAUGUAGACAGCUUGAUAUCCAUUGAAUCUGCUCCUGUGACCUACUUUUCAGAUAAGGAAAAGGAGAAUAAGAGCUUGACUCUCACAAGUGGUCACGUGAUGCACGUGUGGAUAGAUUAUGAUGAAGUAGAGAAGCUACUCAAUGUUACCGUUGCUCCUGUCACAAGAACAAAACCAACCUUGCCUCUCUUGUCAACAUCUCUCGAUCUUUCUUCUGUUAUGUUGGAUUCUAUGUACGUUGGUUUUUCUGCAUCUACUGGAGCAGUGGCUAGCAGCCACUAUAUUCUGGGGUGGAGCUUCAACAGAGGCGGACAAGCUCAAAGUCUUGACGCCUCAAAGAAAAUCCAGAAAGAAACCAUAUUUAAGAAUUCUGGUCCCAACAAUAACAGCAAUCAUUUUGCUGGUAGCAUUCUCUGGUGCUGCUUAUAUCAUAAGGAGGAAGAAAUAUGAAGAACUGCGCGAAGAUUGGGAACAGGAGUAUGGUCCUCAAAGAUUCUCCUACAAGGAUUUAUACAAAGCAACUAC